rnacentral:rRNA from 1 species
UACGUAGGGUGCGAGCGUUAAUCGGAAUACUGGGCGUAAAGCGUGCGCAGGCGGUCUGUUAAGACAGAUGUGAAAUCCCCGGGCUUAACCUGGGAACUGCAUUUGUGACUGGCAGGCUAGAGUAUGGCAGAGGGGGGUAGAAUUCCACGUGUAGCAGUGAAAUGCGUAGAGAUGUGGAGGAAUACCGAUGGCGAAGGCAGCCCCCUGGGCCAAUACUGACGCUCAUGCACGAAAGCGUGGGGAGCAAACGA